GACCUGGCUGGGCGGUCCGCUUAACGGCGUGUACUGUCUGGCUGGGCCUUACCUCUUGGUGAGCCGGCGUGCCCUUCACUGGUGUGCGUCGGGGAACCAGGACUUUUACUUUGAAAAAAUUAGAGUGUUCAAAGCAGGCUUACGUCUGAAUACAUUAGCAUGGAAUAAUAAAAUAGGACG
rnacentral:rRNA from 1 species